AUGUUUGGCCAUAUCACCCUGAACUUGACGAUCUCGGAACUUCCGAUCUCGUCUGAUCUCGGAAGCUAAGCAGGGUCAUGCCUGGUUAGUACUUGGGUGGGAGACUGCCUGGAAAUACCGGGUGCUGUAGGCU
rnacentral:rRNA from 1 species